rnacentral:rRNA from 1 species
AAUCAACGCUGGCGGCGUGCCUCAGACAUGCAAGUCGAACGCGAAAGGUUCCUUCGGGGACCGAGUAGAGUGGCGCACGGGUGAGUAACACGUAGGUAAUUUGCCUUUGGGUGGGGAAUAACUCAGGGAAACUUGAGCUAAUACCGCAUAAUGCAGCGGCUCGACAUCGAGACAGUUGUUAAAGCGGGGGAGUUCGCAAGAACCUCGCGCCUAAACGAAGAAGCCUGCGGCAGANAGUCUAGUUGGUUAAGGUAAUAGGCUUACCAAGGCGACGAUCUGUAACGGCCUGAGAGGGCGGGUCGGUCACACUGACACUGACAUACGGGUCA